CAUCUCCUCCAGCGCUCUUGAAAGGCUGUUUCUGUAAGGGUGGUAGAUGCUUGGAAAUGAUCUUUUCAGAUGGAUCUUGGAGUUCCAAGAAAUUAUAGAGUUGCUUUAUACACAAGUGCAGGUGCUCUUUCAGAAGCAGACACAGCAGAUGGAGAGAUGAAUUUCUGAACUAUUAUCAGCUUUGGAAAACUUCUGUAAAAAGACCAUGAUGCACCUCCAGAGUCAUUAUGCUUGGGUCCUACCUAACUCAAAUGAAGUAUGGAAGAGCUACUACAAGGACUGAAACAUAGUCUCAUUUCACCGAGUCCCAUUUACAGCUUCUUUCUUCAUAUGAAAAUGCUGUUUGGAACAAUGAGGUGCAGAAAUCCUUUUGUGGUACAGAGGGACCAACAGCAGAACCAAGGAAUGUGGGGAAAACUGCCUCUGCAUCAAGAACAUCAGAUAUUUUCUCUCCUCACUGAACAUCCUGCAUUCUCCCCUCAGGACUCAAGAAAAGCUCAGUGGAGAAGGACAGUUCCAGGCAGAAGUACAAAUUCUAUUGUAGCAGACUGGAGGAAGAGAAAUCUUAAACCAAGGGCAUUUAAUCACCUGCAGAGUGAGAGAGGCUGA
rnacentral:lncRNA from 1 species